UUCGAUGUCGCCCAGUAUAUUGAAUGCACUGAAAUAAAAAAAAUUAAAAAAAAUAAGAUUCUCAAAACUGAAUUCCAACUUCAAAAAUGAAUUCCUUGUGCGAUUUUGGUGGGACGUGCAAAGUUUCAUGACGAACGGACAUCCGGAUCGACGGGAAUAAAAAACUUGCCUCCCAAGAAAUUUCAAUAUCUACUGUUGUCACUUGGGUUUCGCCAAUGAACGAUAUGUUAAUUAUUCAAAAAUGAGAGGCCGAAGCCAGAGUCACAAGCACAUAUAAUUACAACUUCAAAGUGGAGCAACCAAAGAAAACAACGGCCAUCUAGAUAACAAAUACUCAAUUCUAAUUACAUGCAUAAGUAAGGAAUUAAUCAAGCCAUUCGAAGAAGGUCGGGCACCCUCGAAGAGUGCUUCAUUUUGAGCCUUCCAUAUGAGGAAGACGCUUCUAUAGAGAGCGAGCGUCCACCUUCUCUUAUCACAUACAUGCACUCGCCGGUCCUUACUGAGCCACUUCAAGCCGGCGUUCAACGUGGUAACCUUUCUACUCCAGUCCAAUUUGUGCCUAACCCGGUUCCAUACAUGCCUCGUGAACGGACACCCGAAGAAAAGAUGAUCUCUCGAUUUGGGGCCCCACACACAGCAUGCACUCAAUCGGGCCUUCGUAGUGUCUCCAUCUGUCUAUGGUAAGCAGGCGGCUCCUCACAGCGAUCCACAUCCUAAACGAAUGCUUCUGAGGAACCCAUGGACUCCACAACUUCUUGUUGAUAGGCUGUACCGACAUAGUCUGAGACAGGCCGAUACAACUUACCUACACGAAGCCUUCCCAUCUCCGAGCACGAAGCCAAGGUGGAAACCAUGUCCCCACCAAUCUGUGCUCUGACCCUAUCCCUCGGGAAGAGUUAUCUUUUCUAUUUAACAGCCCCCCACCAUGGAAACGGCUCAGCUGGAGGUAGGGUCCAGCUGCUGGAAGAGCACCGCACGUCGAGUGGUGUCCGGUGUGCCCCCGGCAGCCUUUAAAAAUCUGGAGGACCGAGUACCGUCCGAGCCCGAUCGUACUCAUAACCGCAUCAGGUCUCCUAGGUGAACAACCUCUGGUCGAUGGAAUAAUAUAGGCAAGGGAAGUCGGUAAAAUAGAUCUAUAACCUUGGGAAAAGGAUUAGCUCUGAAGGCUAGGCAAGGGGAUCCCAGUCCCAAACCCAUCGGCUGUCGGUGAACUGCUAGAGCUGCUCGCACGGCGAGAGCGGGUCAUCACGUGCCAGCCGGGGGAUGGACUGGGAACGGCUCCCUCGGGGGCCUUCCCCGAGUGUCGAACAGUCGACUCAGAACUAGUACGGACAAGGGGAAUCCGACUGUUUAAUUAAAACAAAACAUUGCGAUGGUCCCUGCGGAUGCUCACGCAAUGUGAUUUCUGCCCUGUGCUCUGAAUGUCAAAGUGAAGAAAUUCAACCAAGCACAGGUAAACGGCGAGAGUAACUAUGACUCUCUUAAGGUAGCCAAAUGCCUUGUCAUCUAAUUAGUGACGCACAUGAAUGGAUUAACGAGAUUCCCACUGUCCCUGUAUACUAUCCAGCAAAACCACAGCCAAGGGAACGGGCUUGGCGGAAUCAGCGGGGAAAGAAGACCCUGUUGAGCUUGACUCUAGUCCGACUUUGUGAAAUGACUUGAGAGGUGUAGGAUAAGUGGGUGCCGAAAGGCGAAAGUGAAAUACCACUACUUUUAAUGUUAUUUUACUUAUUCAGUGAAUCAGAGGCAGGGCAUCACCCCUCUUUUUGGACCCAAAGGUCACCCAGGUGGGCCGAUCCAGGCGGAAGACAUUGUCAGGUGGGGAGUUUGGCUGGGGCGGCACAUCUGUUAAAAGAUAAUGCAGGUGUCCUAAGAUAAGCUCAACGAGAACAGAAAUCUCAUGUGGAACAGAAGGGUAAAAGCUCAUUUGAUUCUGAUUUCCAGAAUGAAUACUAACCAUGAAAGUGUGGCCUAACGAUCCUUUAUACCUUUGGAAUUUGAAGCUAGAGGUGUCAGAAAAGUUACCACAGGGAUAACUGGCCUGUGGCAGCCAAGGGUUCAUAGCGAUGUUGCUUUUUGAUCCUUCAAUUUCGGCUCUUCCUAUCAUUGUGAAGCAGAGUUCACCAAGUGUUGGAUUGUUCACCAACCAAUAGGGAACGUGAGCUGGGUUUAGACCGUCGUGAGACAGGUGUGUUUUACCCUACUGAUGAUGGCGUCGCAAUAGUAAUUCAACCUAGUACGAGAGGAACCAUUGAUUCGCAUAAUUGGUCAUCGCGCUAGGUUGAAAAGCCAGUGGCAUGAAGCUACCGUGCGCUAGAUUAUGACUGAACGCCUCUAAGUCAGAAUCCGAGCUAGACGCAACGCAUACGCCCACCGUCCGCUCCCCGACCUACAGUGGACGAGCCGCAUGGGCCGCCUCAAAGUACAAUUCUAAUCGAGCGGUGGGUAGAAUGCUUUGUAGACAACUUAAAUACGCCACCGAGUAUUGUAAGCGGCAGAGUGGCCUUGCUGCCAUGAUCCGCUGAGAUUC
rnacentral:rRNA from 1 species